CGCCGCGUGAGGGACGACGGCCUCCGGGUUGUAAACCUCUUUUAGCAAGGAAGAAGCGAAAGUGACGGUACUUGCAGAAAAAGCGCCGGCUAACUACGUGCCAGCAGCCGCGGUAAUACGUAGGGCGCAAGCGUUAUCCGGAAUUAUUGGGCGUAAAGAGCUCGUAGGCGGUUUGUCGCGUCUGCUGUGAAAUCCCGAGGCUCAACCUCGGGCCUGCAGUGGGUACGGGCAGACUAGAGUGCGGUAGGGGAGAUUGGAAUUCCUGGUGUAGCGGUGGAAUGCGCAGAUUUCAGGAGGAACACCGAUGGCGAAGGCAGAUCUCUGGGCCGUAACUGACGCUGAGGAGCGAAAGGGUGGGGAGCAAACAGGCUUAGAUACCCUGGUAGUCCACCCCGUAAACGUUGGGAACUAGUUGUGGGGACCAUUCCACGGUCUCCGUGACGCAGCUAACGCAUUAAGUUCCCCGCCUGGGGAGUACGGCCGCAAGGCUAAAACUCAAAGGAAUUGACGGGGACCCGCACAAGCGGCGGAGCAUGCGGAUUAAUUCGAUGCAACGCGAAGAACCUUACCAAGGCUUGACAUAUACGAGAACGCCGUAGAAAUACGGAACUCUUUGGA
rnacentral:rRNA from 1 species